UACGUAGGUGGCGAGCGUUAUCCGGAUUUACUGGGUGUAAAGCGCGUGCAGGCGGUUUGUUAAGUUGGGUGUGAAAGCUCCUGGCUCAACUGGGAGAGGUCGCUCAAGACUGGCAGACUGGAGCAUGGUAGGGGAAGGUGGAAUUCCGGGAGUAGUGGUGAAAUGCGUAGAUAUCCGGAGGAACACCAGUGGCGAAAGCGGCCUUCUGGACCAUGACUGACGCUCAGACGCGAAAGCCAGGGGAGCAAAC
rnacentral:rRNA from 1 species